CUUUGGCAGCUGCUUGAACAACCAAAUCCUAAUUAUGACAUGGUAACUCAUCUAAAUCUGAAGAUAAUCAGAGGAGCCAUAGAUGUAACAAGUGACUGGGGCAGGUACACCAAGCCCAGUUUGCUGUCACUUCUGAUGAGGUGAAUGAAGAGAUGGCAAAAGGCCACUCAGAGAAACCAAAGUGAAGGGAUUGGCCAUGUUGAACGCUAGAGGUAUCACACCAACUCAUCUCGUCCCCAAGAGAGUAAGUAAGAAAUGCUACCUAACCAAUGAGCAGGGGAAAGUCAUGUCAACCUCCAGGAUACCAACUUCAUGUCACCAGAUCAAAAGCCGUGGCCACAAUCACAUCAAGUUCCCCUGGAUGCAGAGCAUGAGGACAUAAACCCAAAGCGCACAUGUGCAUGCAUGUGUUUGCGUGUCCACACGCAGAUCACCAAGAGAAAAUCAGAUCAGCAAAGAAGGAUGCCACUCCUUGGCAUUUACACAAAGGAGUUGAAAACUUAUGUCCACACAAAAACCUACACAUGGAUGCUUAUAGCAGAUUCAUUCAUAAUUGAGAAAACAUGGAAGCAACCAAGAUGCCCUGCAGCAGAGAACACUUCUCUCCAGCAGACCUUGCAGAGGGCCAUCCAAACACCAGACAUCCUGCUAGCAGCACUCAUUAGCUAAAGAGACCUCAAAAAGGUACCACCUGUGGAGUUGUCAGAGCUUUCAUCCCAAGCCCUAAGUGCUGGGCUUGUUGAACAUCAGUGUGUUCAGCAUAAUUUCAUGAUUGGCAGCCUUCUCCAACAUAAUACACUACAUCUUCC
rnacentral:lncRNA from 1 species